rnacentral:rRNA from 1 species
CCUACGGGAUGCAGCAGUAAGGAAUAUUGCGCAAUGGGCGAAAGCCUGACGCAGCGACGCCGCGUGGGGGAUGAAGGUCUUCGGAUUGUAAACCCCUUUCGGGAGGGAAGAUGGGAUGGGGUAACCCAUUCGGACGGUACCUCCAGAAGCAGCCACGGCUAACUUCGUGCCAGCAGCCGCGGUAAUACGAAGGUGGCAAGCGCUGUUCGGAUUUACUGGGCGUACAGGGAGCGUAGGCGGUUGGAUAAGCCCUCCGUGAAAUCUCCAGGCUUAACCUGGAAAGUGCAGAGGGGACUGUUCAGCUAGAGGAUGGGAGGGGAGCGCGGAAUUCCCGGUGUAGCGGUGAAAUGCGUAGAGAUCGGGAGGAAGGCCGGUGGCGAAGGCGGCGCUCUGGAACAUUUCUGACGCUGAGGCUCGAAAGCGUGGGGAGCAAACAGGAUUAGAUACCCUCGUAGUC